UUAUCGUCUAUUUGAUAGUACCUUACUACUUGGAUAACCGUGGUAAUUCUAGAGCUAAUACAUGCUGAAAACCCCGACUUCGGAAGGGAUGUAUUUAUUAGAUUAAAAACCAAUGCCCUUCUGGGCUCCCUGGUGAUUCAUGAUAACUUCUCGAAUCGCACGGCCUUGCGCCGGCGAUGGUUCAUUCAAAUUUCUGCCCUAUCAACUUUCGACGGCUGGGUCUUGGCCAGCCAUGGUGACAACGGGUAACGGAGGGUUAGGGCUCGACCCCGGAGAAGGAGCCUGAGAAACGGCUACUACAUCCAAGGAAGGCAGCAGGCGCGCAAAUUACCCAAUCCCGACACGGGGAGGUAGUGACAAUAAAUACUGAUACAGGGCUCUUUUGGGUCUUGUAAUUGGAAUGAGUACAAUUUAAUUCCCUUAACGAGGAACAAUUGGAGGGCAAGUCUGGUGCCAGCAGCCGCGGUAAUUCCAGCUCCAAUAGCGUAUAUUAAAGUUGUUGCAGUUAAAAAGCUCGUAGUUGAACCUUGGGCCUGGCUGGCCGGUCCGCCUCACCGCGUGCACUGGUCCGGCCGGGCCUUUCCCUCUGGGGAGCCGCAUGCCCUUCACUGGGCGUGCCGGGGAACCAGGACGUUUACUUUGAAAAAAUUAGAGUGUUCAAAGCAGGCUUAUGCUCGGAUACAUUAGCAUGGAAUAAUAGAAUAGGACGUGCGGUUCUAUUUUGUUGGUUUCUAGGACCGCCGUAAUGAUUAAUAGGGACAGUCGGGGGCAUCAGUAUUCAGUUGUCAGAGGUGAAAUUCUUGGAUUUACUGAAGACUAACUACUGCGAAAGCAUUUGCCAAGGAUGUUUUCAUUAAUCAGGAACGAAAGUUAGGGGAUCGAAGACGAUCAGAUACCGUCGUAGUCUUAACCAUAAACUAUGCCGACUAGGGAUCGGACGGUGUUAU
rnacentral:rRNA from 1 species